AGACCAGUCUGGCAACAGCUCUGUCUCGGGAAAGAAUUGAAACUUCACCGGAGGACAUCUUCGAACUGUGUGCCAGCUCUGACACUGAGGUGGCCAGAGCAAAAACAAGGCUCUUCAGCACUCAGUCUCUCUCCUCUGGCGGGU